AGGAAUAAAUCAUGGCAAUGAAGAGGACCUGGGGAGGGCCAAACGCUCCUCACAUCAAGACCCUUACCCCCGGAGAGAGAAGACACACUCAAAGGCUCAUUCUGCUAUACGGUCAGAAGCUUUCUGGGGGGAAUCAGAUGAUAGCAACGCUGAGAUUGAAGCAGCCUUACGUCCUCAACCUUUCAACGCAAACAACGAUGACACUGAUGACUUCUAUGACUGAUAUUUCCCCAAGGAUAUUUUUUAAAUGCACUACAUUAUAUCGCUGCAAAAUUCCAGGCAGUUUGGCUCACAGUAAUUCACCCCCUGACCAUUAUUUUAGUGGUCUGCAUUAUAAAUCAUAUGCACACUGUAUCGUAAAAACAAAUAAUAAAGUUGACAGCUCUCACGCUGGGUAAAGUAUGUGAAGAGUUGUCCAACACUCUGAUGUUAACCCUGCUUCAGUCUCUUUAUCUGAACAACUCUCCCAGCUCAUAA